UACAGAGGUCUCAAGCGUUGUUCGGAUUCAUUGGGCGUAAAGGGUUCGUAGGCGGUGUGGCAAGUCGGGAGUGAAAUUUCUGGGCUCAACUCAGAGACUGCUUCCGAAACUGCUGUGCUUGAGUGUGGGAGAGGCGCGUGGAAUUGCAGGUGUAGCGGUGAAAUGCGUAGAUAUCUGCAGGAAUACCCGUGGCGAAAGCGGCGCGCUGGACCACUACUGACGCUGAGGAACGAAAGCUAGGGGAGCAAACAGG
rnacentral:rRNA from 1 species